ACCUCUUCGAAUCUAUUCGUCCAAAAAAAUCCUCGCCGAACCCAAGAUCUUCCCUACCCUUAUGCCAAGAGAUCAAGAGACCAAGAAUCAAACGUGAGCUAAUCAGCUAUAGCACUCUCCCUCAUGUGCCCUCGAUUGCUCGUCUGCUGUCGGCGGUCAGGUACUGUGGUGUAGCAGCGACGUCGUCUAUCAGGAAGAAAGAAAUGGAAGAGGGCAAGCAUAAAUCCAGGAAGGAGGGGGAAUCCAAGAGGAGUCAUCGAGAUCGGCAACGUGAAAAACAGAGGAAUGGAGAGAGACACAGGGAUAAAGAUAAAGAUAAGAGAGAUCGUGAUAGUCGGCGCUCUGAGAGAGAAAAGAGUUCUGAUUCUGAGGAUAGGUAUGAUAGAGAGAAGCAUCGAGACAGGGACACUGAUAGGACACGAAGCCGGGAUGAUGAAAGAGAGAGAACGAGAGACAGGAAGAGAGAAAUAGAUAAAGAGAAGGAGAAGGAGAGAGAGAGGGCUAGAGAGAAGGAAAAGGAGAGGGAGAGGGAAAGAGAAAGAGAAAGAGAAAAAGAAAGAGAUAGAGAGAAAGAAAGAGAAAAAGAAAAAGAAAAGGAACGAGAAAGAGAGAGGGAGAGAAGGGAACGAGAAAGAGAGGGAGAAGAUAGAGAGAGGGAAAAGAGGGAGCGAGAGAGGGAGAGGGAAAAGGACAGAGAUCGAGAGAGGAGGAUACGGGAGAGGGAGAGGCGCAGGGACAUUGAUACUGAUGAUACUGAUGAUGAUGUUAGGGAGCGUGGUAGGAAGCGGCAUAGGAAAGAUGAAAAUGAGUACAAGGAGAAAGAGAGGGAAAGGAGUAGCAGCAGGUCAAACAGACAUAGGGAUGAUGGAGAUGGGAGCCCAAGAAAGAAGAGUGAUGAAGAUGAUUCAGUUAAGAAAGAGAAGCAGCCAACUCGUGAGGAGGAGUUAGAGGAUGAACAGCGGAAAUUGGAUGAGGAAAUGGAAAAGCGGAGAAGGAGAGUUCAGGAGUGGCAAGAGUUAAAAAGGAAGAAGGAAGAAUCUGAGAGAGAGAAACGUGGGGAAGGGGAUGUUGAUGAACCUAAGUCCGGCAAGGCCUGGACUCUUGAAGGAGAAUCUGAUGAUGAAGAAGUACCCUCAUUAGGGAAAUCAGAGAGGGAUAUGGAUGUUGAUGGAGAAGACAAUCUUACUGACAGAGAAGCUGGCGGAGAUGCUAUGGUGGUAGAUUCUGAGAAUGAAACAGAUGCACCUACUUUGCAGAAUGGGGCUGAUGAUGCUGUUGGUGAUGAAGAAGUUGAUCCAUUAGAUGCUUUUAUGAAUUCUAUGGUGUUGCCUGAAGUUGAGAAGCUGAACAAUGCUGUGGAACCAUCAAUUGUUGAUGAGAAGAACAAGGAUAAAAAGGAUGAUCUAAGUAAUGGUGAACAGCCAAGGAGAGGUUCAAAUAAAUCUAUGGGCAGAAUAAUUCCUGGGGAGGAUUCUGACUCGGAUUAUGGGGACCUUGAGAAUGAUGAUGACCCCUUAGAAGAUGAAGGUGAUGAUGAGUUCAUAAAAAGGGUGAAAAAGACAAAAGCUGAGAAGCUCUCUGUAGUUGAUCACUCUAAGAUAGAUUAUGAUCCAUUCCGCAAAAAUUUCUAUAUUGAGGUGAAGGAGAUCUCUAGAAUGACUCCAGAACAGGUGGGUGCAUAUCGGAAAGAAUUGGAAUUGAAGAUACAUGGUAAGGAUGUGCCAAAGCCGAUCAAGACAUGGCACCAAACUGGGCUUACAAGUAAAAUCUUGGAAACAAUAAAGAAGCUAAACUAUGAAAAGCCAAUGCCAAUUCAGGCUCAGGCAGUGCCUGUAAUCAUGAGUGGUCGAGAUUGUAUUGGCAUCGCAAAAACUGGGUCAGGCAAAACUGUUGCAUUCGUGCUGCCAAUGCUGAGGCAUAUCAAGGACCAGCCCCCUGUGGUAGCAGGAGAUGGACCUAUUGGGCUUAUAAUGGCACCAACUAGGGAGCUUGUUCAGCAGAUUCACAGUGAUAUUAAAAAGUUUACCAAGGUACUGGGUCUCAGGUGUGUGCCUGUGUAUGGAGGUUCUGGUGUUGCCCAACAAAUUAGUGAAUUGAAGAGGGGAGCUGAAAUUGUUGUCUGUACACCCGGUAGGAUGAUUGACAUACUUUGUACAAGUGGAGGGAGAAUAACAAAUCUGCGUAGAGUAACGUAUUUGGUAGUGGAUGAAGCUGAUCGAAUGUUUGACAUGGGUUUUGAACCUCAAAUCACUCGAAUUGUUCAAAAUAUUCGGCCAGAUCGUCAAACUGUAUUGUUUUCUGCCACCUUCCCUCGCCAGGUUGAAGUCUUGGCACGCAAAGUCUUGAACAAACCUGUGGAAAUACAAGUUGGUGGUAGGAGUGUUGUGAAUAAGGACAUAGCACAAUUGGUUGAAGUGAGGCUGGAAAAUGAAAGGUUCUUGAGAUUGUUAGAGUUACUUGGGGAGUGGUAUGAGAAAGGAAAAAUUUUGAUAUUUGUCGAGUCACAGAAUAAAUGUGAUGCUUUAUUUAGGGAUCUGCUUAGGCAUGGAUAUCCUUGUCUCUCACUUCACGGGGGCAAAGAUCAAACAGAUCGUGAGUCCACCAUAACUGAUUUUAAAAGCAAUGUUUGUAAUUUGUUGAUUGCAACUAGUGUUGCUGCGAGAGGGUUAGAUGUCAAGGAGCUUGAACUGGUGAUCAACUUUGAUAGUCCAAAUCACUAUGAAGACUAUGUUCACCGUGUUGGCCGUACAGGGCGAGCUGGUCGGAAAGGCUGUGCUAUAACGUUUGUCUCUGAGGAAGAUGCUAGAUAUGCUCCAGAUCUUGUCAAAGCAUUGGAACUCUCUGAGCAAGUUGUUCCAGAUGACCUGAAAUCUCUUGCGGAUAGUUUCACCGCAAAAGUAAAUCAGGGACUCGAGCAAGCCCAUGGAACUGGUUACGGAGGAAGUGGUUUUAAAUUUAAUGAAGAGGAAGAUGAAGUGAGGAGAGCAGCAAAGAAAGCACAAGCCAAAGAAUAUGGUUUUGAGGAUGACAAGUCAGAUUCAGAAGAUGAAGAUGAAGGUAUCCGAAAGGCAGGGGGUGACAUUUCACAGCAGGCUGCCCUUGCUCAGAUAGCAGCCAUUGCUGCCGCCUCUAAAGGUAGUACAGCUUCAAUUCAGACCCCUGUGCCUGCUGCCCAACUGCUUCCCAACAGUGGACUGCCUGUUUCUCUUCCAGGUGUCCUUGGGCUAACAUUACCAGGAACAGCAGCAGCUGUGGCUGGGACUGGUUUGCCUGUUGUUGGCAAUGAUGGGGCAGCUCGGGCUGCAGCAAUUGCAGCUGCAAUGAACUUGCAGCAUAAUCUGGCAAAGAUCCAAGCUGAUGCAAUGCCUGAACACUAUGAAGCAGAGUUGGAGAUAAAUGAUUUUCCACAGAAUGCUCGAUGGAAGGUUACCCACAAGGAAACUUUGGGACCUAUAUCAGAGUGGACUGGAGCUGCCAUUACUACGAGGGGUCAGUAUUUCCCACCAGGGAAGGUUGCAGGACCGGGAGAUCGCAAACUCUACUUGUUUAUUGAGGGCCCUACUGAACAGUCUGUCAAGAGAGCCAAAGCAGAAUUAAAACGUGUUUUGGAAGAUAUCUCAAAUCAGGCAUUAUCACUUCCUGGUGGAGCACAGCAAGGCAGAUAUCAAGUUCUAUAAGUGUAUUGUCUUGAAAUUUCUGGAGCCAAUGCAGCUACAUAUACAUACUUCCUUAAGGUAGAGCACUGGAUUACAUCUGAAGAGAGGCUUUUAGUAGGAGGUCCAUUAUUUCUUGUUCUGCAUCCUUUCUGUACUGUUAAAAGCUUGAGCUAUCAAAGAAGAAAGGUUAAAGGAAAUGACCACCUCAUCCAUCAAAUACUUGACAUGAAUGCUUUCAAUUGAGUCCACCACUGGUAAGCAGAUAUCGGUGUGGAGAGUGGUCCCUACCCUAUCAGCUGCUGGGUUUGAUGAUGACGGGACAGGUGGUUAGGUUUAGAAAAGGCCUAGAAGAAAUUGGCGCUCGCUUGCUUCAUACGGUAGCAGAAACAGUAGGGUGAUUUUACAUGGUUUUUUCUUUUCGUAUCCCGAGUGGUUGGUUUUAGCAAUUGUGAUUACCAUGCGUACUAAUGUCUGAAAUGGUUAAGAUACUACCGGAAUUGUAUGUGGCCUCACUCGGCUCGUAACCCAGAGCUUUUUGUCUGAUAAUCUGUCUUAAAUGAAAUUAUUCUGUUGUUAUUCUUGUCAUGUGUUGUUUCACCUUCCUCUUUAGUCUCACCUGUCCUUUUCUUUUCUCACAGACGGCCAUAAGAAAUUUAUGCCCUACUCUGUCAACCAUUACUUUCUCUAGCUCGAGCUCUAAUGAAUUUCGUGGCCAUUCACCACCCAAAGGAAAAGAUGUAUAUGGUUGCGUAAUGGGGAUUUCUCUUCAUCUUCUCUCAUUGUUUUUGGCCGACUGAGAAAAGGAAGGGGGAAAAUUCGAACCUAAGACCGCUUGGGAGCGCAUAAAAAACAUAGGCCAAUCCAACUAACCUCUCAUUGGUUCCUCUUCUCUCUAAUACUUAGAAGUUUGCAUCAUGUACUGCAAGUCUACAAUGGUCUUCGAUAAAUACUCACUCCCUUCCUCUCAAAUUUGAUCCAAACUUUGCUGGUUUUUGUUAGUGUUUGAAGAAUCAUUGGUUUCUCUCGUACCGAAUCUUUGUUUCUGAGUUGUUGGAUCUGGAUUGCUUAGCUGAUAUAAAAAUAGCUAAUGGGACAAAUGAAUGGUAAUAAAAAAAUGCGGACGGCGGAUGACUGAGCGAGGAAUGGGUGGAGCCUGGAGGUGCAAGAGGACGUUUUGUGAUUUUCUUCGUCUUCCUUUUUUGUCUUGUAGUUCUCUCCUUUCUCGCUCAUGAAACGGACAAAUUAGACUAGAAAGCGAAUAUAGUGCGUCUCUUCUUUUAAUCACUUUACUGUUUGGCGGGGCCGUGAAAUAUUGUUUUUCGGUCCUUUUAAUUUCAUUUCUUAAACUCAAUUGUUAUUACACCGGAUUGCUAUUGCACCCAAUCUUAAAAGUUGACAA